rnacentral:rRNA from 1 species
CUACGGGGUGCUGCAGUGAGGGAUUUUGCGCAAUGGGCGAAAGCCUGACGCAGCAACGCCGCGUGAGUGAUGAAGGCCUUCGGGUCGUAAAGCUCUGUCAAGUGGGAAGAACCUAUGUAAUGUUAAUAUCAUUAUAUACUGACGGUACCACUGAAGGAAGCACCGGCUAACUCCGUGCCAGCAGCCGCGGUAAUACGGGGGGUGCAUGCGUUAUUCGGAAUCAUUGGGCGUAAAGGGCACGUAGGCGGCCUGGUAAGUCAGAUGUGAAAGCCCGGGGCUUAACCCCGGAAGUGCAUUUGAUACUGUCAGGCUUGAGUAUGGGAGAGGGAAGUGGAAUUCCUGGUGUAGAGGUGAAAUUCGUAGAUAUCAGGAGGAACACCGGUGGCGAAGGCGACUUCCUGGACCAAUACUGACGCUGGGGUGCAAAGGCGUGGGUAGCAAACAGGAUUAGAUACCCGAGUAGUC